rnacentral:rRNA from 1 species
GCAUAUCCAAUAAGCGGAGGAAAAGAAACCAACAGGGAUUGCCCCCAGUAGCGGCGAGUGAAGCGGCAAGAGCUCAGAUUUGAAAUCGUGUUUCGGCACGAGUUGUAGAGUGUAGGGCGGGAGUCUCUGUGGAGCGCGGUGUCCAAGUCCCUUGGAACAGGGUGCCUGAGAGGGUGAGAGCCCCCGUGGGGUGCUGCGCGAAGCUUUGAGGCCCUGCUGACGAGUCGAGUUGUUUGGGAAUGCAGCUCUAAGCGGGUGGUAAAUUCCAUCUAAGGCUAAAUAUUGGCGAGAGACCGAUAGCGAACAAGUACUGUGAAGGAAAGAUGAAAAGCACUUUGAAAAGAGAGUGAAACAGCACGUGAAAUUGUUGAAAGGGAAGGGUAUUGGGCCCGACAUGGGGAGUGCGCACCGCUGUCUCUUGUAGGCGGCGCUCUGGGCGCUCUCUGGGCCAGCAUCGGUUCUUGCUGCGAGAGAAGUGGCGCCGGAAAGUGGCUCUUCGGAGUGUUAUAGCCGGUGCCGGAUGUCGCGUGCGGGGACCGAGGGCUGCGACAUCUGUCUCGGAUGCUGGCACAACGGCGCAAUACCGCCCGUCUUGAAACAUGGACCAAGGAGUCUAACGUCUAUGCGAGUGUUUGGGUGUGAAACCCGUACGCGUAAUGAAAGUGAACGUAGGUCGGACCCUUCGGGGGCACGAUCGACCGAUCCUGAUGUUUAUCGGAUGGAUUUGAGUAAGAGCAUAGCUGUUGGGACCCGAAAGAUGGUGAACUAUGCCUGAAUAGGGUGAAGCCAGAGGAAACUCUGGUGGAGGCUCGUAGCGGUUCUGACGUGCAAAUCGAUCGUCGAAUUUGGGGAAUAGGGGCGAAAGACUAAUCGAACCAUCUAGUAGCUGGGUUCCUGUGA